GGAGGGGUGGCAGAGCGGUUGAAUGCGGCGGUCUUGAAAACCGUUAGGGGCCUUCUCGGUCCCUCGGGGGUUCGAAUCCCUCCCCCUCCG
rnacentral:tRNA from 1 species